rnacentral:rRNA from 1 species
AAAGCAUCUAAGCACGAAACUUGCCCCGAGAUGAGUUCUCCCUGAGACUAUAAGUCUCCUGAAGGAACGUUAAAGACUAUGACGUUGAUAGGUCGGGUGUGUAAGUGUAGCGAUACAUUGAGCUAACCGAUACUAAUGAACCGUGAGGCUUAACCUU